UUAAGCGACUAAGCGUACACGGUGGAUGCCCUGGCAGUCAGAGGCGAUGAAGGACGUGCUAAUCUGCGAAAAGCGUCGGUAAGGUGAUAUGAACCGUUAUAACCGGCGAUGUCCGAAUGGGGAAACCCAGUGCAAUUCGUUGCACUAUCGUUAACUGAAUACAUAGGUUAACGAGGCGAACCGGGGGAACUGAAACAUCUAAGUACCCCGAGGAAAAGAAAUCAACCGAGAUUCCCCCAGUAGCGGCGAGCGAACGGGGAGCAGCCCAGAGUCUGAAUCAGCUUGUGUGUUAGUGGAACGGUCUGGAAAGUCCGACGGUACAGGGUGAUAGUCCCGUACACCAAAAUGCACAGGCUGUGAACUCGAAGAGUAGGGCGGGACACGUGGUAUCCUGUCUGAAUAUGGGGGGACCAUCCUCCAAGGCUAAAUACUCCUGACUGACCGAUAGUGAACCAGUACCGUGAGGGAAAGGCGAAAAGAACCCCGGCGAGGGGAGUGAAAAAGAACCUGAAACCGUGUACGUACAAGCAGUGGGAGCACCUUCGGGUGUGACUGCGUACCUUUUGUAUAAUGGGUCAGCGACUUAUAUUCUGUAGCAAGGUUAACCGUAUAGGGGAGCCGCAGGGAAACCGAGUCUUAACUGGGCGUUAAGUUGCAGGGUAUAGACCCGAAACCCGGUGAUCUAGCCAUGGGCAGGUUGAAGGUUGGGUAACACUAACUGGAGGACCGAACCGACUAAUGUUGAAAAAUUAGCGGAUGACUUGUGGCUGGGGGUGAAAGGCCAAUCAAACCGGGAGAUAGCUGGUUCUCCCCGAAAGCUAUUUAGGUAGCGCCUCGUGAAUUCAUCUUCGGGGGUAGAGCACUGUUUCGGCUAGGGGGUCAUCCCGACUUACCAACCCGAUGCAAACUACGAAUACCGAAGAAUGUUAUCACGGGAGACACACGGCGGGUGCUAACGUCCGUCGUGAAGAGGGAAACAACCCAGACCGCCAGCUAAGGUCCCAAAGUCAUGGUUAAGUGGGAAACGAUGUGGGAAGGCACAGACAGCCAGGAUGUUGGCUUAGAAGCAGCCAUCAUUUAAAGAAAGCGUAAUAGCUCACUGGUCGAGUCGGCCUGCGCGGAAGAUGUAACGGGGCUAAACCAUGCACCGAAGCUGCGGCAGCGACACUAUGUGUUGUUGGGUAGGGGAGCGUUCUGUAAGCCUGCGAAGGUGACCUGUGAGGGUUGCUGGAGGUAUCAGAAGUGCGAAUGCUGACAUAAGUAACGAUAAAGCGGGUGAAAAGCCCGCUCGCCGGAAGACCAAGGGUUCCUGUCCAACGUUAAUCGGGGCAGGGUGAGUCGACCCCUAAGGCGAGGCCGAAAGGCGUAGUCGAUGGGAAACAGGUUAAUAUUCCUGUACUUGGUGUUACUGCGAAGGGGGGACGGAGAAGGCUAUGUUAGCCGGGCGACGGUUGUCCCGGUUUAAGCAUGUAGGCUGGUUAUCCAGGCAAAUCCGGAUAAUCAAGGCUGAGGUGUGAUGACGAGGCACUACGGUGCUGAAGUAACAAAUGCCCUGCUUCCAGGAAAAGCCUCUAAGCAUCAGGUAACAUUAAAUCGUACCCCAAACCGACACAGGUGGUCAGGUAGAGAAUACCAAGGCGCUUGAGAGAACUCGGGUGAAGGAACUAGGCAAAAUGGUGCCGUAACUUCGGGAGAAGGCACGCUGGUGUGUAGGUGAAGUCCCUGCGGAUGGAGCUGAGACCAGUCGAAGAUACCAGCUGGCUGCAACUGUUUAUUAAAAACACAGCACUGUGCAAACACGAAAGUGGACGUAUACGGUGUGACGCCUGCCCGGUGCCGGAAGGUUAAUUGAUGGGGUUAUCCGUAAGGAGAAGCUCUUGAUCGAAGCCCCGGUAAACGGCGGCCGUAACUAUAACGGUCCUAAGGUAGCGAAAUUCCUUGUCGGGUAAGUUCCGACCUGCACGAAUGGCGUAAUGAUGGCCAGGCUGUCUCCACCCGAGACUCAGUGAAAUUGAACUCGCUGUGAAGAUGCAGUGUACCCGCGGCAAGACGGAAAGACCCCGUGAACCUUUACUAUAGCUUGACACUGAACAUUGAGCCUUGAUGUGUAGGAUAGGUGGGAGGCUUUGAAGCGUGGACGCCAGUCUGCGUGGAGCCAACCUUGAAAUACCACCCUUUAAUGUUUGAUGUUCUAACGUUGGCCCCUUACCGGGGUUGCGGACAGUGUCUGGUGGGUAGUUUGACUGGGGCGGUCUCCUCCCAAAGCGUAACGGAGGAGCACGAAGGUUAGCUAAUCCUGGUCGGACAUCAGGAGGUUAGUGCAAUGGCAUAAGCUAGCUUGACUGCGAGCGUGACGGCGCGAGCAGGUGCGAAAGCAGGUCAUAGUGAUCCGGUGGUUCUGAAUGGAAGGGCCAUCGCUCAACGGAUAAAAGGUACUCCGGGGAUAACAGGCUGAUACCGCCCAAGAGUUCAUAUCGACGGCGGUGUUUGGCACCUCGAUGUCGGCUCAUCACAUCCUGGGGCUGAAGUAGGUCCCAAGGGUAUGGCUGUUCGCCAUUUAAAGUGGUACGCGAGCUGGGUUUAGAACGUCGUGAGACAGUUCGGUCCCUAUCUGCCGUGGGCGCUGGAGAAUUGAGGGGGGCUGCUCCUAGUACGAGAGGACCGGAGUGGACGCAUCACUGGUGUUCGGGUUGUCAUGCCAAUGGCACUGCCCGGUAGCUAAAUGCGGAAGAGAUAAGUGCUGAAAGCAUCUAAGCACGAAACUUGCCCCGAGAUGAGUUCUCCCUGAGACUUUAAGUCUCCUGAAGGAACGUUAAAGACGAUGACGUUGAUAGGCCGGGUGUGUAAGCGCAGCGAUGCGUUGAGCUAACCGGUACUAAUGAACCGUGAGGCUUAACCUU
rnacentral:rRNA from 2 species